rnacentral:rRNA from 1 species
AUUGAACGCUGGCGGCAGGCCUAACACAUGCAAGUCGAACGAGUGGCGGACGGGUGAGUCAUGUCUGGGAAACUGCCCGAUGGAGGGGGGUAACUACUGGAAACGGUAGCUAAUACCGCAUACCAUCGGAUGUGCCCAGAUGGGAUUAGCUAGUAGGUGGGGUAACGUAUCACCUAGGCGACGAUCCCUAGCUGGUCUGAGAGGAUGACCAGCCACACUGGAACUGAGACACGGUCCAGAAUCCUACGGGAGGCAGCAGUGGGGAAUAUUGCACAAUGGGCGCAAGCCUGAUGCAGCCAUGCCGCGUGUAUGAAGAAGGCCUUCGGGGUGUAAAGUACUGUCAGCGAGGAGGCGUUACUCGCAGAGGAAGCGCCGGCUAACUCCGUGCCAGCCGCCGCGGUAAUUC